rnacentral:rRNA from 1 species
UGGAUCCAGACUUUGAUCAUGGCUCACGAUGAACGCUAGCUACAGGCUUAACACAUGCAAGUCGAGGGGAAACGACAUCGAAAGCUUGCUUUUGAUGGGCGUCGACCGGCGCACGGGUGAGUAACGCGUAUCCAACCUGCCCACCACUUGGGGAUAACCUUGCGAAAGUAAGACUAAUACCCAAUGACGUCUCUAGAAGACAUCUGAAAGAGAUUAAAGAUUUAUCGGUGAUGGAUGGGGAUGCGUCUGAUUAGCUUGUUGGCGGGGUAACGGCCCACCAAGGCUACGAUCAGUAGGGGUUCUGAGAGGAAGGUCCCCCACAUUGGAACUGAGACACGGUCCAAACUCCUACGGGAGGCAGCAGUGAGGAAUAUUGGUCAAUGGACGAGAGUCUGAACCAGCCAAGUAGCGUGCAGGAUGACGGCCCUAUGGGUUGUAAACUGCUUUUAUAAGGGAAUAAAGUGAGUCUCGUGAGGCUUUUUGCAUGUACCUUAUGAAUAAGGACCGGCUAAUUCCGUGCCAGCAGCCGCGGUAAUACGGAAGGUCCGGGCGUUAUCCGGAUUUAUUGGGUUUAAAGGGAGCGUAGGCCGGAGAUUAAGCGUGUUGUGAAAUGUAGACGCUCAACGUCUGCACUGCAGCGCGAACUGGUUUCCUUGAGUACGCACAAAGUGGGCGGAAUUCGUGGUGUAGCGGUGAAAUGCUUAGAUAUCACGAAGAACUCCGAUUGCGAAGGCAGCUCACUGGGGCGCAACCGACGCUGAAGCUCGAAAGCGCGGGUAUCGAACAGGAUUAGAUACCCUGGUAGUCCGCGCGGUAAACGAUGGAUGCCCGCUGUUGGGCCAACUGGUUCAGCGGCCAAGCGAAAGCAUUAAGCAUCCCACCUGGGGAGUACGUCGGCAACGGUGCAA